UCUCUGGUAGUAUAUCGGUUAGUACACGCGCCUGUCAUUACACUGUGAAAAUAGCUGGGUACGCGCGAAAGCUGGGUUCGACUCCCAGCCAGAGAG